rnacentral:rRNA from 1 species
UAUUGGGCAAUGGGCGCAAGCCUGACCCAGCAACGCCGCGUGAAGGAAGAAGGCUUUCGGGUUGUACACUUCUUUUCUCAGGGACGAAGAAAGUGACGGUACCUGAGGAAUAAGCCACGGCUAACUACGUCCCAGCAGCCGCGGUAAUACGUAGGUGGCAAGCGUUAUCCGGAUUUAUUGGGUGUAAAGGGCGGGUAGGCGGGAGGGCAAGUCAGAUGUGAAAACUCAGGGCUCAACCCUGAGCCUGCAUUUGAAACUGUGUUUCUUGAGUGCUGGAGAGGCAAUCGGAAUUCCGUGUGUAGCGGUGAAAUGCGUAGAUAUACGGAGGAACACCAGUGGCGAAGGCGGAUUGCUGGACAGUAACUGACGCUGAGGCGCGAAAGCGUGGGGAGCAAACAGG